rnacentral:pre_miRNA from 1 species
UUACUACUCCCUCCGUCUCAAUAUUCUUGUCUUAAAUUUGCCUUAUAUAUGAAUAUAUUAGUCACAUUUCAGUAUUUAGAUACAACCAUUUCUAGACAAAUUUAAGAUAAGAAUUUUAGGACGAAGGGAGUAUGUC